rnacentral:rRNA from 1 species
AACGAACGCUGGCGGCAUGCCUAACACAUGCAAGUCGAACGAGACCUUCGGGUCUAGUGGCGCACGGGUGCGUAACGCGUGGGAAUCUACCCUUGGGUUCGGAAUAACUCAGAGAAAUUUGAGCUAAUACCGGAUGAUGUCGCAAGACCAAAGAUUUAUCGCCCAAGGACGAGCCCGCGUAGGAUUAGCUUGUUGGUGAGGUAAAAAGCUCACCAAGGCGACGAUCCUUAGCUGGUCUGAGAGGAUGAUCAGCCACACUGGGACUGAGACACGGCCCAGACUCCUACGGGAGGCAGCAGUGGGGAAUAUUGGACAAUGGGCGAAAGCCUGAUCCAGCAAUGCCGCGUGAGUGAUGAAGGCCUUAGGGUGUAAAGCUCUUUUACCCGGGAUGAUAAUGACAGUACCGGGAGAAUAAGCCCCGGCUAACUCCGUGCCAGCAGCCGCGGUAAU